rnacentral:rRNA from 1 species
CCUACGGGGGGCAGCAGUGGGGAAUAUUGGUCAAUGGGCGUAAGCCUGAACAAGCAAAGUCGCGUGAGGGAUGAAGGUUCUAUGGAUCGUAACCCUCUUUUAUAAGGGAAUAAAGUGCGGGACGUGUCCCGUUUUGUAUGUACCUUAUGAAUAAGGAUCGGCUAACUCCGUGCCGGCAGCCGCGGGAAUACGGAGGUUCCGGGCGUUAUCCGGAUUUAUUGGGUUUAAAGGGUGCGUAGGCGGCCUUUUAAGGCACGGGUGAAAGUCUGUGGCUCAACCAUAGAAUUGCCGUUGAAACUGGUAGGUUUGAGUAUGUGUGAGGCAGGCGGAAUGCGUGGUGUAGCGGUGAAAUGCUUAGAUAUCACGCAGAACCCCGAUUGCGAAGGCAGCCUGCCAGGCCAUGACUGACGCUGAUGCACGAAAGCGUGGGGAUCAAACAGGAUUAGAUACCCCGGUAGUC